rnacentral:rRNA from 1 species
AACGAACGCCGGCGGCGUGGAUAAGACAUGCAAGUCGGACGGGAUUUUCCGUUGUAGCAAUACGAUGGAAAGUCUAGUGGCGAACGGGUGCUUAACACGUGGGCAACCUGCCAGGAAGUGGGGGAUAGCUCGCCGAAAGGCGAAUUAAUACCGCAUGUGAUUAGAGAGGACAUCCUUUCGAAAUUAAAGUCGGGGCAACCUGACGCUUCUUGUGGGGCCCGCGGCCUAUCAGCUAGUUGGUGAGGUAAUGGCUCACCAAGGCUUUGGCGGGUAGCUGGUCUGAGAGGACGAACAGCCACACUGGGACUGAGACACGGCCCAGACACCUACGGGUGGCAGCAGUCGAGAAUUUUUGACAAUGGGGGAAACCCUGAUCGAGCGACGCCGCGUGGAGGAUGAAGGUCUUCGGAUUGUAAACUCCUGUCAUUGGGGAACAAGGUGCAUACGUUAACUGCGUGUGCAUUGAUAGUACCCGAAGAGGAAGAGACGGCUAACUCUGUGCCAGCAGCCGCGGUAAGAC